AUGAAUGCUGCCGAUAGGUACCAAGAGGAAGCUAAGAAGCAAAUUAGGGCAAAGGCAGAGGAAUUGGAGAACACGAGGAAGGCAGGUCUGAUGCUAAUGAACACCGCUGAUACAUACCAAGAAGCGGCAAUGAAGCAAAUUAAGGAGAAGGCGGGGGAGCUGGAGGACGCGAGGAAGGCGGUUUUGGCGCUCAUGAAAGCAGCAGAUGCGUACCAGGAAGAAGCGAAGAAGAAAAUUAAGGAUAAGGUGCAGGAGCUGAAGGUCAUGGGGGCACAGAAGGCAGAGCUGGAUGCGAGGGUAGAAUCUUUGGAGUCAAGGCUCAAGGCAGCUCUGGCAAAGAACUUGGAGUUGGAGGAUGAUUAUGGUAAGGUGCAGGCUGCAAAUGAUAACCUUCGGCUGGAGGUUGAGAAAGAUGCAUCUGCAAAGGCAUUUGAUGCUGAGAAGGAAGAAAUCUUGACGGAAUUGGAGGACCUUAAGAUGAAGGUGGAGGUAACUCAAGCCAACAAGGAUUUGAUGGAGGGUGAAAAUGAUAAACUUCAAUUGGACGCUUUCACAGGAAUAUAG
rnacentral:rRNA from 1 species